AUUUUGUAUAGGUCACAUGUAUAAAACGCCAUGAAUCUAUUGAUCCUCCUCAUCGUUGCUGCAGCAUUCUUCUCUGGUGAUAGUUCUGCUCAGAGGCGGCAGAAUGGAAACCCGCACCUGGAAUGUACUAAGGAACCAUACCUCCAAUGUGACAUAGUGAAUUAUAGGAGGUUCCCUGUCCUGGAAUUCCUUCUGUCCAGGUUCGCAGCUCAAAAAACCAACUCAACCGACAAAAACAUAAAUAUUUGAAAAUAAUUAUGGUAUUCUUACCAGGUACGGAGCGCAAGAGAGCAAGGCAUCAGAAAAACUAUACUACAUUAAAAACAAAUAAUGUUUCUGGCUUGAAGGAAAAUAUUUUACGACUUUUUGGGUUUUUGUAUUGACUGAGUUCUAAUAAAUAAAUUGUUCCAUAGAA